CAUUAUAUCAGUUAUGGUUCCUUAGAUCGUACCCACAUUUACUUGGAUAACUGUGGUAAUUCUAGAGCUAAUACAUGCAAACAGAGCUCCGACUGGAGACGGAAGGAGCGCUUUUAUUAGAUCAAAACCAAUCGGCGGCGGGUUCGCGCCCGUCGUCGUACCCACUGGUGAAUCUGAAUAACUUUCUGCUGAUCGCAUGGUCUCGCACCGGCGACGCAUCUUUCAAAUGUCUGCCUUAUCAACUGUCGAUGGUAGGUUCUGCGCCUACCAUGGUUGUAACGGGUAACGGGGAAUCAGGGUUCGAUUCCGGAGAGGGAGCCUGAGAAACGGCUACCACAUCCAAGGAAGGCAGCAGGCGCGCAAAUUACCCACUCCCGGCACGGGGAGGUAGUGACGAAAAAUAACGAUACGGGACUCAUCCGAGGCCCCGUAAUCGGAAUGAGUACAAUCUAAACCCUUUAACGAGGAUCAAUUGGAGGGCAAGUCUGGUGCCAGCAGCCGCGGUAAUUCCAGCUCCAAUAGCGUAUAUUAAAGUUGUUGCGGUUAAAAAGCUGUAGUCGAAUCUGUGUCCCGCGCCGCCGGUUCAUCGCACGCGGUGUUUAACUGGCGUGUCCGCGGGACGUCCUGCCGGUGGGCCUAACCGUUGCCCGCGAGGGUGGCGGCAGCCCAACUCAAUCCCACCGCGGUGCUCUUGACUGAGUGUCGAGGUGGGCCGGCACGUUUACUUUGAACAAAUUAGAGUGCUUAAAGCAGGCUAAAAUUUCGCCUGAAUACCGUGUGCAUGGAAUAAUGGAAUAGGACCUCGGUUCUAUUUUGUUGGUUUUCGGAACCCCGAGGUAAUGAUUAAUAGGAACGGAUGGGGGCAUUCGUAUUGCGACGUUAGAGGUGAAAUUCUUGGAUCGUCGCAAGACGAACAGAAGCGAAAGCAUUUGCCAAAAACGUUUUCAUUGAUCAAGAACGAAAGUUAGAGGUUCGAAGGCGAUCAGAUACCGCCCUAGUUCUAACCAUAAACGAUGCCAGCUAGCGAUCCGCCGACGUUCCUUCGAUGACUCGGCGGGCAGCUUCCGGGAAACCAAAGCUUUUGGGUUCCGGGGGAAGUAUGGUUGCAAAGCUGAAACUUAAAGGAAUUGACGGAAGGGCACCACCAGGAGUGGAGCCUGCGGCUUAAUUUGACUCAACACGGGAAACCUCACCAGGCCCGGACACCGGAAGGAUUGACAGAUUGAGAGCUCUUUCUUGAUUCGGUGGGUGGUGGUGCAUGGCCGUUCUUAGUUGGUGGAGCGAUUUGUCUGGUUAAUUCCGAUAACGAACGAGACUCUAGCCUGCUAAAUAGGCGUAUGUCGUGCAUCUCAUAGGUCCGCCGCAGCGCUGGCGUUCGCGCGUCGCGCUCGCGCGCGGUUUUUACUGCCGGCGUACACACAACUCUUNUUAGAGGGACAGGCGGCUUCUANCAGCACGAGAUUGAGCAAUAACAGGU
rnacentral:rRNA from 1 species